AGAUGACAUGUUUAAUGAAUUGCCGCUAUAUAAAUAAAAAUUGAAUUGAAUUUAAAAAAAAGUACUAAAGACUCAGCCCAGAUUGAUGCAUCCAGACAGAUACUAGAAGUCAGCUUCAAAAAUGAAGCAAGAAAAUUGCGGCUAUCCGCUAAUGAAUUACAUCUACAAGGAAAUCUUUGUAGAACCUUCUUCAUCAUAGACUCCAGGAGGAUCCCCUGGAGUCUAUUGAGCUAAAAUAAAAUGUGUUUUAAAUAUAACACGAUGCAAGGUUUGAGGAAGAAUAAUGGCAGAAAUGUACCGUACAACCUUCCCUUACUGUUUAAGUCACUCUGACCACCGGCAAACAAACGCACACAACGUCAAGCACAACACAGAGUCACAGACUUUACCCCUGUUUUUAGGCUUGUAGGCUAAUUGUUCAAAACUAUUCCUAUUUCUUUUAUUUUAAGUAUUUACAUACUUUUAUGAUGGAGAGUUUUUUUUAUAAAAUCCUUGCAUCCUUGCAAAAUCCUUUAAAAUCCUGUAAUUUAAUUCCAGAGAGGAAGACAGGUAGAACAAUGAUUCAUGGUUAGUCUGCAUGUAUUAACUUUUGCUGUAUGUGCUUUCUUAACCAUUUGGAGUGAUGAAGACAAAUUGCCAAACAUACCAGCCACGGUUCACUCAGAGCUCCUCUAGAUAACAGAAAUAGGACAGCAUAUUGAUUUAGAACAUCCCUUCCUUUACAUCUCUUGUACAGCUCCUGUACAGCUUAAGAAAAUCACAAUUUUCUUAAAUGUAAUGGACGGAGCCCAUCAGGCCUUCGAACAAAAUCAAAAAAGAACAUUUGCUGAACAUUCAUUCCUGUUUUUGUCAGGGUUCUUUGUGUUGCCUUGCUCUAACUUUGUUCCUCAGGUGGUUCUAGUUGGCUGAGGGGGCGUGGCCCACACCUGCAACUUCCUCUGGCUUCUUAAGCAGAGCUCGGACAGAUGGAAGACGCCAGAACCUUAAACCAGUUGUGUUUGGUGCUGUAGCACUUACCUGCCUUCACGCUCCGUCCGAAGAGUUCACCUCCAGAAUCACAAGGCUCAGAUUUUGCUCUGGCGCUCCCCCUCCUGCUUCUUGGAAGUUACACAGUCAGGCUCGAGGUUCCUCUCCCGGAUUCUGAUGGUUCUCGCUUCUCUCUGGUCAAUCCAUCUGUCGCUCGCCUUCGCAGCAAUCUGCUCCGGAUCCUUCGCCAGUAAAACAUCUGCCGUCCUCCAGCCACUAGCCACCAACUAGAGUAGGCUCACAGAGUUACCUUGGCACAUCCCUCCCCCGGUUAGGUCUGCCCAGCUAAAGGUAAGCGGCGCACGUUCUGGCUUUUUCCUGGUUCUUGCCUUCGAGUAACAUUUCCCCCUCUCUCUGCAGUCUCCCCGCUUCGGCGUUCAGGCCUCGUCCCGUUACUCGUGUCAUUGACCUUGCUGUUUGCACACCCUAAAUAAACUUCUUAAACUGA